rfam:Azospirillum sp. CAG:260 genomic scaffold, scf213
UACGGAGGACGAUGGGUUAACCCUUCGCCAACCCGGUCAGGUCCGGAAGGAAGCAGCCGUAACGAAACCGGUUAAGGUCAUUCGCCCUCCACCACU